CCUACGGGAGGCAGCAGUGAGGAAUAUUGGUCAAUGGACGAGAGUCUGAACCAGCCAAGUAGCGUGAAGGAUGACUGCCCUAUGGGUUGUAAACUUCUUUUAUAUGGGAAUAAAAUGUUCCACGUGUGCGUUUUUGUAUGUACCAUAUGAAUAAGGAUCGGCUAACUCCGUGCCAGCAGCCGCGGUAAUACGGAGGAUCCGAGCGUUAUCCGGAUUUAUUGGGUUUAAAGGGAGCGUAGGUGGUUUGUUAAGUCAGUUGUGAAAGUUUGCGGCUCAACCGUAAAAUUGCAGUUGAAACUGGCAGUCUUGAGUACAGUAGAGGUGGGCGGAAUUCGUGGUGUAGCGGUGAAAUGCUUAGAUAUCACGAAGAACUCCGAUUGCGAAGGCAGCUCACUAGACUGCAACUGACACUGAGGCUCGAAAGUGUGGGUAUCAAACAGGAUUAGAUACCCUUGUAGUC
rnacentral:rRNA from 1 species